UACAGGAAAGGGUAGGAGGAGAGAGGGAGUGGGGAAAUGAGGAGGCAGAAAAUCUGCCAUACACACUUUGUUAAACAAUGCCAUAAGGAAACCUGUUGUAGGUUACCCGCCAGAGAAGGCCAGUCAGACACUGGCAUAAGCCAAUAGAAAGCCUUUAUUAGCUAGCCAGCAACUAUACCGGGUGUUCCGGAUGGCAAUGUAGCCUUGAGCCCUUCUCAGGGUAAGCUUUCAAGCACAUAAACCACUUCCUGAGUUGACAUUCUUCAGUUAACAGGAACAGUGAGCUAGAAGUGGAACUGCAGAAGCCAAGAAGAAGCAAGUCUACACAUCAAGAGGCUGCUUGCCAGUAGCUGUUGUACGGCUCUUCGUUGUCUCUCCUGUUCCAGGAACACCUCAGUCUAGGAGGCAGAAGAUCUUACUAUAGAUGGUUGUGAGCCACCAUGUGGUUGCUGGGAACUAAACUCAGGACCUUUGGAAGAACAGCAAGUAUUCUUAACCUCUGAGCCAUCACUCCAGCCCAGCUGUGGAUUUCUUGAUGCCCAC